rnacentral:rRNA from 1 species
AAACUCCUACGGGAGGCAGCAGUAGGGAAUCUUCGGCAAUGGACGAAAGUCUGACCGAGCAACGCCGCGUGAGUGAAGAAGGUUUUCGGAUCGUAAAACUCUGUUGUUAGAGAAGAACGUUGCAUAGAGUGGAAAAUUAUGCAAGUGACGGUAUCUAACCAGAAAGGGACGGCUAACUACGUGCCAGCAGCCGCGGUAAUACGUAGGUCCCGAGCGUUGUCCGGAUUUAUUGGGCGUAAAGCGAGCGCAGGUGGUUUAAUAAGUCUGAUGUAAAAGGCAGUGGCUCAACCAUUGUGUGCAUUGGAAACUGUUAGACUUGAGUGCAGUAGAGGAGAGUGGAAUUCCAUGUGUAGCGGUGAAAUGCGUAGAUAUAUGGAGGAACACCGGUGGCGAAAGCGGCUCUCUGGACUGUCACUGACACUGAGGCUCGAAAGCGUGGGUAGCAAACAGGAUUAGAUACCCUGGUAGUCCACGCCGUAAACGAUGAGUGCUAGUUGUUUGGGGCUAUCCAGCCCUAAGUGACGCAGCAAACGCAUUAAGCACUCCGCCUGGGGAGUACGACCGCAAGGUUGAAACUCAAAGGAAUUGACGGGGGCCCGCACAAGCGGUGGAGCAUGUGGUUUAAUUCGAAGCAACGCGAAGAACCUUACCAGGUCUUGACAUACUCGUGCUAUUCCUAGAGAUAGGAAGUUCCUUCGGGACACGGGAUACAGGUGGUGCAUGGUUGUCGUCAGCUCGUGUCGUGAGAUGUUGGGUUAAGUCCCGCAACGAGCGCAACCCCUAUUGUUAGUUGCCAUCAUUAAGUUGGGCACUCUAGCGAGACUGCCGGUAAUAAACCGGAGGAAGGUGGGGAUGACGUCAAAUCAUCAUGCCCCUUAUGACCUGGGCUACACACGUGCUACAAUGGUUGGUACAACGAGUCGCAAGGCAGUGAUGUCAAGCUAAUCUCUUAAAGCCAAUCUCAGUUCGGAUUGUAGGCUGCAACUCGCCUACAUGAAGUCGGAAUCGCUAGUAAUCGCGGAUCAGCACGCCGCGGUGAAUACGUUCCCGGGCCUUGUACACACCGCCCGUCACACCACGAGAGUUUGUAAUACCCAAAGCCGGUGAGCUAACCUUUUAGGAGGCAGCCGUCUAAGGUAGGAUAGAUGAUUGGGGUGAAGUCGUAACAAGGUAGCCGUAUCGGAAGGUGCGGCUGGAUCACCUCCUUU